rnacentral:rRNA from 1 species
GAUGAACGCUGGCGGCGUGCUUAACACAUGCAAGUCGAACGGGAAUUACUUUAUUGAAACUUCGGUGGAUUUAAUUUAAUUCUAGUGGCGGACGGGUGAGUAACGCGUGGGUAACCUGCCUUAUACAGGGGGAUAACAGUCAGAAAUGGCUGCUAAUACCGCAUAAGCGCACAGAGCUGCAUGGCUCAGUGUGAAAAACUCCGGUGGUAUAAGAUGGACCCGCGUUGGAUUAGCUUGUUGGUGGGGCAACGGCCCACCAAGGCGACGAUCCAUAGCCGGCCUGAGAGGGUGAACGGCCACAUUGGGACUGAGACACGGCCCAGACUCCUACGGGAGGCAGCAGUGGGGAAUAUUGCACAAUGGGGGAAACCCUGAUGCAGCGACGCCGCGUGAAGGAAGAAGUAUCUCGGUAUGUAAACUUCUAUCAGCAGGGAAGAUAGUGACGGUAC